rnacentral:rRNA from 1 species
AACGAACGCUGGCGGCAGGCCUAACACAUGCAAGUCGAGCGAGACCUUUGGGUCUAGCGGCGGACGGGUGAGUAACGCGUGGGAAUAUGCCCUUUGGUACGGAAUAGCCUCGGGAAACUGAGAGUAAUACCGUAUGCGCCCUUCGGGGGAAAGAUUUAUCGCCAAAGGAUUAGCCCGCGUUGGAUUAGGUAGUUGGUGGGGUAAUGGCCUACCAAGCCUACGAUCCAUAGCUGGUUUGAGAGGAUGAUCAGCCACACUGGGACUGAGACACGGCCCAGACUCCUACGGGAGGCAGCAGUGGGGAAUCUUAGACAAUGGGGGCAACCCUGAUCUAGCCAUGCCGCGUGAGUGAUGAAGGCCUUAGGGUUGUAAAGCUCUUUCAGCUGGGAAGAUAAUGACGGUACCAGCAGAAGAAGCCCCGGCUAACUCCGUGCCAGCCGCCGCAGUAA